ACCCCCAGGCAAUGGAUAGAGAGACACCUUGGUGGUGUUGCUCUUGUAUCAGUCAGGGGCAGAGCAGAUGGCAGUCCUUUGUCCAUUCUAGCUUGAUGCCUGGCUUGGUGGCCAAUGCUGUUUUGUGACUAGGACUCAUGA